AUGAACUAAGCCAUGCGAGUCAUUGUAGCAAUACAAGGCAGACGGCUCAGUAACGCGUAGUCAAUCUACCCUAUGGACGGGAAUAACCUCGGGAAACUGAGAAUAAUGCCCGAUAGAACAUUAUACCUGGAACGGUUUAUGUUUCAAAUGAUUUAUCGCCGUAGGAUGGGACUGCGGCCUAUCAGUUUGUUGGUGAGGUAAUGGCCCACCAAGACUAUUACAGGUACGGGCUCUGAGAGGAGUAGCCCGGAGAUGGGUACUGAGACACGGACCCAGGCCCUAUGGGGCGCAGCAGGCGAGAAAACUUUGCAAUGUGCGAAAGCACGACAAGGUUAAUCCGAGUGGUUUCUGCUAAAGAAACCUUUUGCUAGUCCUAGAAACACUAGUGAAUAAGGGGUGGGCAAGUUCUGGUGUCAGCCGCCGCGGUAAAACCAGCACCUCAAGUGGUCAGGAUGAUUAUUGGGCCUAAAGCAUCCGUAGCCCGUUUUGUAAGUUUUCGGUUAAAUCCAUACGCUCAACGUAUGGGCUGCCGGGAAUACUGCAUAACUAGGAAGUGGGAGAGGUAGACGGUACUCGGUAGGAAGGGGUAAAAUCCUUUGAUCUAUUGAUGACCACCUGUGGCGAAGGCGGUCUACCAGAACACGUUCGACGGUGAGGGAUGAAAGCUGGGGGAGCAAACCGGAUUAGAUACCCGGGUAGUCCCAGCUGUAAACUAUGCAAACUCAGUGAUGCAUUGGCUUGUGGCCAAUGCAGUGCUGCAGGGAAGCCGUUAAGUUUGCCGCCUGGAAGUACGUACGCAAGUAUGAAACUUAAAGGAAUUGGCGGGGGAGCACCACAAGGGGUGAAGCCUGCGGUUCAAUUGGAGUCAA
rnacentral:rRNA from 1 species